AUUGAACGCUGGCGGCAUACCUUACACAUGCAAGUCGAACGGUAACGGGCCUUCGGGUGCCGACGAGUGGCGAACGGGUGAGUAAUACAUCGGAACGUGCCCGAUCGUGGGGGAUAACGAGGCGAAAGCUUUGCUAAUACCGCAUACGAUCUACGGAUGAAAGCAGGGGACCGCAAGGCCUUGCGCGGACGGAGCGGCCGAUGGCAGAUUAGGUAGUUGGUGGGAUAAAAGCUUACCAAGCCGACGGUCUGUAGCUGGUCUGAGAGGAUGAUCAGCCACACUGGGACUGAGACACGGCCCAGACUCCUACGGGAGGCAGCAGUGGGGAAUGUUGGACAAUGGGCGCAAGCCUGAUCCAGCCAUGCCGCGUGCAGGAUGAAGGCCUUCGGGUUGUAAACUGCUUUUGUACGGAACGAAAAGCCUUCUUUUAAUACAGGAGGGUCAUGACGGUACCGUAAGAAUAAGCACCGGCUAACUACGUG
rnacentral:rRNA from 1 species